rnacentral:rRNA from 1 species
ACGGGUGAGUAACACGUGGACAACCUGCCUCAAGGCUGGGGAUAACAUUUGGAAACAGAUGCUAAUACCGAAUAAAACUUAGUGUCGCAUGACACAAAGUUAAAAGGCGCUUCGGCGUCACCUAGAGAUGGAUCCGCGGUGCAUUAGUUAGUUGGUGGGGUAAAGGCCUACCAAGACAAUGAUGCAUAGCCGAGUUGAGAGACUGAUCGGCCACAUUGGGACUGAGACACGGCCCAAACUCCUACGGGAGGCUGCAGUAGGGAAUCUUCCACAAUGGGCGAAAGCCUGAUGGAGCAACGCCGCGUGUGUGAUGAAGGCUUUCGGGUCGUAAAGCACUGUUGUAUGGGAAGAACAGCUAGAAUAGGAAAUGAUUUUAGUUUGACGGUACCAUACCAGAAAGGGACGGCUAAAUACGUGCCAGCAGCCGCGGUAAUACGUAUGUCCCGAGCGUUAUCCGGAUUUAUUGGGCGUAAAGCGAGCGCAGACGGUUUAUUAAGUCUGAUGUGAAAGCCCGGAGCUCAACUCCGGAAUGGCAUUGGAAACUGGUUAACUUGAGUGCAGUAGAGGUAAGUGGAACUCCAUGUGUAGCGGUGGAAUGCGUAGAUAUAUGGAAGAACACCAGUGGCGAAGGCGGCUUACUGGACUGCAACUGACGUUGAGGCUCGAAAGUGUGGGUAGCAAACAGGAUUAGAUACCCUGGUAGUCCACACCGUAAACGAUGAACACUAGGUGUUAGGAGGUUUCCGCCUCUUAGUGCCGAAGCUAACGCAUUAAGUGUUCCGCCUGGGGAGUACGACCGCAAGGUUGAAACUC